rnacentral:rRNA from 1 species
CGGACGGGUGAGUAAUGCUUGGGAAUCUAGCUUAUGGAGGGGGGUAACUACGGGAAACUGUAGCUAAUACCGCGUAAUAUCGAAAGAUUAAAGUGUGGGACCUUCGGGCCACAUGCCAUAGGAUGAGCCCAAGUGGGAUUAGGUAGUUGGUGAGGUAAAGGCUCACCAAGCCGACGAUCUCUAGCUGGUCUGAGAGGAUGACCAGCCACACUGGGACUGAGACACGGCCCAG